AAAACAAGUUAAACAGAACUAACCAAAUAUAUAAGAUAUUUCAAAUAAAAAAGUAAUAAUAAAAGCCUUGCUAGCUUGUUUGAAAGUAUAUAUAAUACUUUAUUUCCUAGACUUAAAAUUGUGAUUUCCAUUACACUUAAUUAGUAUACAAAAUAUUAUUUUUAAAAGACAGGUUCUCAAACUCAAGGAUUAACAAAUAUUUGCAAAGUGAUCACCAAAGUCUUUGUAUAUUUGUUAACAAAAACACAAAUCCAGAAUAUAAAAUCUAUCUGAAAUUAUCUAAGCCAACAUCAAAUUAUUUAAAUAUGACUCAGCUUGUAUAAAGAGAAAAUUAAAAUCUUCCUUACAUACAAAGUUUUGUACACAAUGGGUUUUAUCAGUACAGACUUUUUUUUUUUUUUUUUUUUUGAGACAGAGUUUUGUUCUUGUCGCCCAGGCUGGAGUGCAAUGGCGCAAUCUUGAUCUUGGCUCACUGCAACCUCCACCUCCUGGGUUCAAGCAAUUCUCCUGCCUCAGUCUCCUGAGUAGCUGGGAUUACAGGCACCUGCCACCACGCCCAGCUAAUUUUUGUAUUUUUAGUAGAGACAGGGUUUCACCAUGUUUUCACCACGUUGGGCAGGAUGGUCUCAAAUUUCUGCCUCAUGGGUUCAGUAGAGUAGUAAUCCCAGCUACUUGGGAGGCUGAGGCACCUGCUACUUCGCAUGGCUAAUUUUUCUAUUUUU
rnacentral:lncRNA from 10 species